rfam:Camelus ferus unplaced genomic scaffold scaffold429, whole genome shotgun sequence.
GAGGGUGUAGCUCAGUGGCAGAGUGUGUGUGUAGCAUGCAUGAAGUCCUGGGUUCAAUCCCCAGUACCUCCA